UCCUACGGGGGGCAGCAGUGGGGGAUAUUGCACAAUGGGGGGAACCCUGAUGCAGCGACGCCGCGUGGGCGAUGGAGUACUUCGGUAUGUAAAGCCCUAUCAGCAGGGAAGAAAAUGACGGUACCUGACUAAGAAGCCCCGGCUAAAUACGUGCCAGCAGCCGCGGUAAUACGUAUGGGGCAAGCGUUAUCCGGAUUUACUGGGUGUAAAGGGAGCGUAGGCGGCCUGGCAAGCCUGAUGUGAAAUACCGGGGCCCAACCCCGCGGCUGCAUUGGGAACUGCCAGUCUGGAGUGCCGGAGAGGCG
rnacentral:rRNA from 1 species